ensembl:lncRNA
GGUUGGUGUUCUUUUAAUUACAAUUUUGAAAAUAUACCUAAUGAAUAUCUUUGUCUUGUGAGUAAUGUAUGUAUUGUGUGCCUGUUUUCCAUAUAAGGAGGCUGGAAUAACAAUCCAUCGGCAUGGCGGUCCCACGGCUCGUAAGCGCCAGUAGGCAGUAGCGGUCGAUGCGGCGUCUACUCUUUAUUAUGUCUAUGGUGCAAACUAGAACAUUCAUUUUAGCGACUUGGUUCUUUCGUCAACUCUUGUUCAAAGUGUAUGAGCUAUAUGAUCUGAAUUGGAUAAUACAACAUGUGGAUUAUCACAUUGUUUGACUAGAAUUUGAUGAACUCCCGAAACAAACGACAAUCAAGGAUUUUUCUGACACCUACAUCUAUGGUGAUGACGUUUCCUGUAGGUUUGUUCCCGGAGGAGGAAGACUGUGGCAGCAGUUCACACCAGGAUGGAGCAAGCACAGUACUCCAAGGCACCAGAGAGGUACUCCCGCCACCAUGUAGAGGAUGGCUACAUAGUUUAUUUUUAAGGGCAAGAAAGCAGAUGUAGGGGGAAGUUUUAGCUCUGCACAUAAAGAACAUUUGGAGAAGAUCAAGUGGCUGGCUGACUGAAGAGAGGGUCGAGCUGAGGGCACAGCUGGCUCAAAAAUCAGCUUCUGAUAAACGUCUGACUGAAAAGAAUGUCAAGCCGAGGGCACAGCUGCCUCUACAAUCAGGAGCCAUAAGGAAGAAUCUUUCUAACCGAGAUGCCACUGACAAGGCUUUCCAGAACCAGGUCCCCAGGUACCAGAAAGGGGCAGCUGACCAUGCAGGUGGAAGAUGUUGCGGCGGUACAAGGGACCUGCCGUGAAUAUGAAUGACAUCUCCAGCACAACCAAUAUUGCUGCUAAGCUGCAUUACUGUAGCCUAUUUCAAAUUUUUUUUUUUUUUUUUUUUACUGCUGCUAUGUACAGUGUUAUAUAUAUGAUUGCAUUAUCCUCUUAAUAUAUUUAUAGCUCUGUGAAUGUUCUUAAUUCUGACUAGUUGUAGUGUUAUGCCACCAUUCAUAAGCUUAUAUCACUGAUGUAUCUGAUAUUCAAUAAUUAUUGAUUGCUGCUAGGUCAUACUUAUGUAUAUUACUGCCAUUCUAGGCCUAGCCCACAUUUUUAUUUCAAUUCAUUUGCACAUGUUUAUUUUGUACGCUUGCUGUAUAAUGCAUGUUUUUUUGUAUG